AGUGGUGCUUGGCGUGUGUGGGCAUGUUGGAUCCCUGCUUUGGGCAGCGACAGCGUGACCCCCAUGCCUCUUCAUUCGUGGGAACGAGCUUCGACUCGUCCGUGGUCGGUUUUCCUGUAUUGCGUACCUAUCGCGAUGGCAUUCGGUCGGCUAAAAUUGUCCGUUCUCCGCCCUGUGCUGGCGCUCCCUGCGGGCGUUUGGUGCGGGGUGGAUCUCACGACGUGCGUUGUGUUUCGCGCCGCAUUCACCUAUUUUGGUGUUUGGGUAGGCGACCCACUACGUGAUGCUCGUUGUCUUGGGUGCGGAACAUCGGGUGGGUACGAGGCAUCGUCCUCCGAUCACCACAGCAAGCGUUCUACGCUCUAUGCGAACGACGGCCGCGCUCGGCUUUCGACGGAGCAAUUUUUGCUCGGACGAUGUCGUGACGG
rnacentral:misc_RNA from 1 species